AACGAACGCUGGCGGCAUGCCUAACACAUGCAAGUCGAACGAGACCUUCGGGUCUAGUGGCGCACGGGUGCGUAACGCGUGGGAAUCUGCCCUUGGGUUCGGAAUAACAGUUGGAAACGACUGCUAAUACCGGAUGAUGACGUAAGUCCAAAGAUUUAUCGCCCAAGGAUGAGCCCGCGUAGGAUUAGCUAGUUGGUGAGGUAAAGGCUCACCAAGGCGACGAUCCUUAGCUGGUCUGAGAGGAUGAUCAGCCACACUGGGACUGAGACACGGCCCAGACUCCUACGGGAGGCAGCAGUGGGGAAUAUUGGACAAUGGCGAAGCCUGAUCCAGCAAUGCCGCGUGAGUGAUGAAGGCCUUAGGGUUGUAAAGCGUCUUUUACCCGGGA
rnacentral:rRNA from 1 species